UGGGGAAUAUUGCACAAUGGGCGAAAGCCUGAUGCAGCAACGCCGCGUGAAGGAAGAAGGUUUUCGGAUCGUAAACUUCUAUCGAUGGGGACGAAGAAAGUGACGGUACCCAAGUAAGAAGCCCCGGCUAACUACGUGCCAGCAGCCGCGGUAAUACGUAGGGGGCAAGCGUUAUCCGGAAUUACUGGGUGUAAAGGGUGAGUAGGCGGUCAAACAAGUCAUAUGUGAAACCUCGGGGCUUAACCCCGAGCUUGCAUAAGAAACUGUGGGACUAGAGUACAGGAGAGGUAAGUGGAAUUCUUAGUGUAGCGGUGAAAUGCGUAGAUAUUAAGAAGAACACCAGUGGCGAAGGCGGCUUACUGGACUGAAACUGACGCUGAGUCACGAAAGCGUGGGGAGCAAACA
rnacentral:rRNA from 1 species